rnacentral:rRNA from 1 species
UACGGGGGGGGCAAGCGUUGUUCGGAAUUACUGGGCGUAAAGGGCGCGUAGGCGGCUCUCUAAGUCCCGUGUGAAAGCCCUCGGCUUAACCGAGGAACUGCACGAGAAACUGGAGAGCUUGAGUUCGGGAGAGGGAGUGCGGAAUUCCAGGUGUAGCGGUGAAAUGCGUAGAUAUCUGGAGGAACACCGGUGGCGAAGGCGGCAUCCUGGACCGACACUGACGCUGAGGAGCGAAAGCCAGGGGAGCAAACGGG